rnacentral:rRNA from 1 species
GAUGAACGCUAGCUACAGGCUUAACACAUGCAAGUCGAGGGGCAGCAUGGUCUUAGCUUGCUAAGGCCGAUGGCGACCGGCGCACGGGUGAGUAACACGUAUCCAACCUGCCGUCUACUCUUGGACAGCCUUCUGAAAGGAAGAUUAAUACAAGAUGGCAUCAUGAGUUCACAUGUUCACAUGAUUAAAGGUAUUCCGGUAGACGAUGGGGAUGCGUUCCAUUAGAUAGUAGGCGGGGUAACGGCCCACCUAGUCUUCGAUGGAUAGGGGUUCUGAGAGGAAGGUCCCCCACAUUGGAACUGAGACACGGUCCAAACUCCUACGGGAGGCAGCAGUGAGGAAUAUUGGUCAAUGGGCGCAGGCCUGAACCAGCCAAGUAGCGUGAAGGAUGACUGCCCUAUGGGUUGUAAACUUCUUUUANAAAGGAAUAAAGUCGGGUAUGUAUACCCGUUUGCAUGUACUUAUGAAUAAGGAUCGGCUAACUCCGU